rnacentral:rRNA from 1 species
GUCUGUGGCCUUACCACACCUGAAGGUGCCCUAUCUUGUCCGAUCUCAGAAGUUAAGCAGGGUCAGUCCUGGUUAGUACCUUGGAUGGGAGUUCCUCUUAGGCAUAGCAGGCAACAGAAG